AGAGUCUGGCUUUGAUAUUUUUAUUUUAGUUGCUAUCUUUUUAUGUAUAUUUUCACAGUGAUAUCUACUUAGGUGAGAGCCUUGCUAGAUGGUACACAAAUACACAGCAGAUAAUAAUGUCUGGCUAAGAGAACUUCAAUACAGAGUUAACUCUUGCAGGUUCUGGAAAAAAAAAAUGAGGCUAAUGGUUUCGACAGGAGUAAAUUUUGUCUUGCAGAGGAAGAUGGUCUGAAGGUACUGGUAACAUCAUUUAAAACAUUACCACAAGUAGGCAAUUCCCUUAAGAAAUCUCAGAGGUUGCUGCAGGUCUACUUUUAAAGAGCUGCUCCUUGGCUAAAAUUUGUGCUUUGCUCAGUGAGGAAAAGAAGAGAAAAAAAUGUUGGGUGCAUGGUAUACUGUGAUUUUCUUGGUACACCCAGUAAAAGAAAGCAUAUAUUCAGCAUACAACAUACCUGUGAAGCUAAGAAAUAAAUCUGCUGCUUUGGAAGUGUAAUAAGGAAAAAUGGCUGAAUAAUGAAGAAAAACUACACAGAACUAAAAGAAGUAUUACACAGUGCAGAAGUUACUAAUGGUAUGCAGAAACUCAUCAACUCAGAUGUAUUGAACCUGAAAGCAUGCAAAAGAAAUGCUCCAUGGAAAAUCUUCAAAUGGUGGGAAGAUGUGGGCAGACAACUGAAAGUGAAAUGUUAUUUGGAGUCUCUUCUGAAGAACUGUAAAGAGACUACUGGAUGAUGAACCAGACAAGUCCUGGACGCUUUUAACUCAGUAGGACAAGAAGUGGAUGUGGAUUCUCCCACAAGAAUGGGUGCAAACAGUGCAGGAAUCCAGAAAAGGACAAGGAAAUUGAUUCUCUUGUUUGGGUUUUUUUUGCACAGAAAUGGCCUUAUCACCAAUGGGAGAAUUUUUGAAGAUUUACCAUCCAGUUGCAAAAAAGGAAAAGAAAAAAAAAAGUUGUGUAGUUAAGUCAGCCAGAAUGAAUUUGAACAGUCAGAUCAACAUAGAGCCUUUCCUGCCAUCCACUGUACAGUAGAGGAGGCCAGUGACCAUUAGUGACACCUUUUCACAAACUGAAGCAGCCUUGGUUUAAUCAUUAAUAAAGCAGUGAUAAAUUUCUUCCAAUGAAAGAUAGUAACUUUUGUUUUGAGCUUGGACACAUGCUAAUUUGAGCAAAUGGCUACAUGUUGAAAGAAAGGCGGGGGGAAGCAGCAAAAAUGUUAGAAAACUAAUCAUCACCAUCAGCGAAUAGGUACAAUUGCUUGCAGAUGUUCAGAUACUUCACCGCUGAACUCCAAAGGCAGUGGAAAAAGAUACCAAUCCUAUACCAGCAAGUUCCUGUCACAGAAGACUGAUACAAUUUGUUCCCUCUUGAGACUUGAGAAAUGUAAUCACACAUGGAAAUCUCCUUUGCAAAGGCAAGCCACACGGGUGUGAAGAGAAGAAGAAAAUGGAACAGAGAGAAUUUUCCUGGUCAGGUUGUGUGAAUGUGACUUUUGAGAUGUCAUUGACAAAGUAUUUCACCUGGGACUAAGAGUUCAUAGAAGUUUCUGUGAUAUUUGGUUUAAAAUCAGGCUCUCUGCUUAACAGGAAUUUAUUUUUCUUGUUUGUUUGUUUCUGUCCGGUUAUUUAGACUAGAUACUGCUGAGAAAGAACGGUCGUGUAGUGCACAAGAUCACACUCUCAUCCAGGCACCAGGACAUGUUUUUGAGUGCCACCUGCUGGCUUUUUGUCUGUUAGCCGUUCACAGGCGCAGACGGUUUUCUGAAGGUGGAUGGUCUGUUGUGUCAGGUGCUAGCUCCUGAAUGUAGCCUUAGAGAGUACGGUUCUCAUGCCUGUCGGCUGUCUUGGGGAGAUGGAGACUGAAAGACAGCUACGUUUGUGUUCCAAGGCUUUCCUGGUAUCCAUCUUUCACUGAAUAAAACUCUGGGUACUGCUGCUCAUCUGCUUGUCUUUGCUCUUCUGUUCUACGAGGAAUAAGAGGAAG